UUGUAUUCAAGUCCAUACAUGCCUUUUGAAGCUCACAUAAAAUAGAAGCCAAGCUGUGAAAGGCUGUGUGUAUAGACACUUGUUGGGAAGAUGAAAACACUUUUGUUGCAUCAUAGAAAAUCUUUAAAAAGCUAACAAAGGCUCUAGCCUUUUCCCAAUCAUUAGGAGUAGGAAGGCCAGCCUCUUUAAACCACUCAACAUAGCCAGAAUCUUCAUGCACUAACUUCUCAAAAGCGG